GAGCAGACCUAGAAGCAGACAACCCCCAGGCUCUGAUCCUGUUGCCAUGCGGCCGUUUCCCGGGCAACCCGUUCCCAGUGGCUCGUGAUGGAGCAGUAAAACGGUUUCCAAGCAUCCUGUGCCAAGCCAGGUAUUUCUAAUUUGCCCCUGUGCCCCGUGGGCUCAAGGAGCUGCAGUGCGCUGGCUGUGAAACGUAGGUGUGACAUGGCAGAUGGAAGGAGCUGUGGGAGACUAGGUGAAUCUUUCAGUCCUACGGCGAGUCCCCUGGGCUGCAAGUGGAAAGUGACCACGUAUCUCUCAGUGGCAGGGUAAUAACACAAGAACAGAUCCACCCAGGGCUGAGACCGAACAGUACAGGAAGAACAAAUUGGAGAAAGAGGCAUCACAUAACACCAAUGCUCAGUGGCUAGACCACAGCAAUCUCCCAGAACAAGAUCCACUAACCAUUACAAUGGCAGACUUCCAAGAAAGAGUGAAAGGUAUGAAGAUCGGGACAGCACCAGAACUCUGACAUGACUAUGACCAUCCACACCUACUGGCUGAAGAAACUAACUGCACUCCAUGAACACCUGGCAGCACAAAUGAACCAAGUGCUGAUGGAUGGGACCCACCCAGAAUGGUUAACCCAAGGACAGACGGUCCUGAUCAUGAAGGAUCCCCAGAAGGGAACGAUUCCAUUCAACGACCGGCCAAUAACCUGCCUCUGCACAACAUGGAAGCUCUGGUAGAGGACCCGAGCUUGAGGAUGACACAUACCACCACACAGGGGGUCAGAGGCAGAAUUUUUACACAGUAUAUCUACUGUAUCUAUCUAGCUACAAAGCCUUAUAGUCCACCCAUAACUAAUUCCAGUUCAGCGAUUGGAAACAAGUUGUAGUAGUAGAUAAUUAGUACAAGUACUAAUAGUCAUUAUUUUAUCCACAUGCACUUCAUUGCCACAGCCUUAUUAUUAGAGUAGGAAUAACUACAGUAGAAAAAUUAACUGACACAUCAAGGUGUGUAGAAUUACACAUGUAUGUUUAUUAUUUUUUGCUCCUACAUUAUGCAUUAAUUUACUUAGUUUGGAUCCAGGUAUUUAUCAUGCAUUUAUUUUCAGAAUAAGGCCAGUACACACACACACACACACACACACACACACACACACACACACACACACACACACACACAUAUAGACAAACAG